AUUGAACGCUGGCGGCAUGCCUUACACAUGCAAGUCGAACGGUAACAGGUCUUCGGAUGCUGACGAGUGGCGAACGGGUGAGUAAUACAUCGGAACGUGCCCGAUCGUGGGGGAUGACGGAGCGAAAGCUUUGCUAAUACCGCAUACGAUCUACGGAUGAAAGCAGGGGACCGCAAGGCCUUGCGCGGACGGAGCGGCCGAUGGCAGAUUAGGUAGUUGGUGGGAUAAAAGCUUACCAAGCCGACGAUCUGUAGCUGGUCUGAGAGGACGACCAGCCACACUGGGACUGAGACACGGCCCAGACUCCUACGGGAGGCAGCAGUGGGGAAUUUUGGACAAUGGGCGAAAGCCUGAUCCAGCCAUGCCGCGUGCAGGAUGAAGGCCUUCGGGUUGUAAACUGCUUUUGUACGGAACGAAAAGACUCCUUCUAAUAAAGGGGGUCCAUGACGGUACCGUAAGAAUAAGCACCGGCUAACUACGUGCCAGCCGCCGCGGUAACAC
rnacentral:rRNA from 1 species